rnacentral:lncRNA from 8 species
AAGAAAAUCAGGUGUAGUUAGGGACGUAGCUUAUACCAUCAACUUGUUGUGUUAUUCUAGUAGAAUCUUAAAGUAGAUGGAAGGGAAUCUGAACAUGAAUAAUUUAUAACUUAAUGCUUUUCUUGAGUUAGCUUAUGAGGAAGUAGGUUACUGAUGUCAUAGCUUCUUUCAGUGUUUUUCUCUUCGAUUGUGGCAUCUGCUGUGGGUUACUGGCAUGGACUAUAUGAGAAUCAGGGCCUUGUCACACUGACUUCAAGUUUACUCCAGAGGGCAGUAGACACACACUGAUCACAGGGACAUAGCAGAUAAGCUGGAAAAUACAAAAUAGUACGCUGCAUGGUUUUUACCAUUUAUGAGACAUGUCUUACUGACUGUUAUCAUGUGGCACUUUCUACUUGUUACUUUGCUCAAAUACUUCAACACUUUUGUCAACUUGCUAAUGCAUAAUGGUAUUCUACGUGUUAUGGUCUGCAUGGAGAGCAGAGGUUGAUCCAUGUGCAUGUAUCCAACCUGAGGUCCUCUCCUGCACUGCUGCCUUACUCGGAUUCUGGACCACUUCAACCAUCUCUCCCGUCACAGGUUUCUCCAGGUGUGCAGUCUUGCCGCAGCCACGCCAUCCCACCACUAUUCCAUCCCAGCGGCUCACGUGGAGAACAUCUCGCCACCUGCUAAUAGGGCUCCAGCCCCGGUGAGGCCCUCGACUCCUCCACCCUCAACAGCAAUGGCUCUGGUUGCAGCUGAGACACAGGGUGAGUCCUUGUCCCCUCCUAAUUAAUUUAAUUGUAAUUAUUUAGCCAGGAUAGUCCACUGAGGAAAAGACUUGCCACUGUUUACCAGGGAGUCCUCCUCACUCUCCUCUGGUAACUCCAGACCACUAUGAAAGGAUCAAGCUGGCAUAGCUCAGGAACCGGGAGCAACUCAGUACUGCACGCUCUUACCAAGAUGCCUCUUGAGGAUAGAAGUUGAGGACUUUUAGUACGCUACAUAAUAUUGAUAAAUAUAAAAUAUAAAGAAGAUGAUAAGAUAGAUGAUAUCAUUUUAAUAAAAAGUAAUUCAUUUGCAACUACUGGUUAUUCAUUACAGUAUGAACUGUAAAAUGAUUGGGACAAACACAACACAGCUCACCUAAUGGUAGUUUUUACAAACAGUACAGCACCAGCCUCACCCAAGAGGUCUACAACCUUAUCAUAUUAUCAAUAAUAUUGGAAUAUUUACUAAUCAUUGUAGAACAAUGUGGAUUUGUUAUUUGGGGAAUACCAAAAUAACUGGGGAAUACCAAAAUAAACCGAAGGCAGACCCAGGUAAAACCAGGGUCAUAUUCAUUAGGGUCGACCAUAGACAAAUAUUUUGCUAAGGAAAACAAGAGUUUGUUAUUGGAGAAGUUCACAUUCCCUCCCUGUUUCAGUAUGUUUUCUUAUGUUUGGUGCAUAAUGAACACUACCCAGGGUUAUUAGUCUGGGCCAGAUGUAUCAAGGGUCCUAGAGCAGCACUCCUACUCUGAGACCCUUGAUACAUACAGCCUCUGGUGUAUUUGGAGUUAAAAAUGUCACUGUUCCUGAUCAUUCACAAGGGGGCAGCCUCCACUACGAAUAGAAAGUGACUGUCUGUAUGUGAGAUAUGGGCUGCAUUGCCAUAGUCUAAAGUGCCUUCAUCUGUUAAUCUCAUGUACACUGAAUCUGAUGUGAAAAAACUGGACAAGUGGAAGCAAAUGCCUAGUAGAACUCUACUGUAAUGAUUUUACCUAGUCUGUUUUCACAUCAGGGCAGAUGGAGGAGAUGAGGAACGAGGAAGGGAGCCAUUUUGGAAAAUGGCCGAUAGGGAGCAAUCUAUUAUGACUUCUGUCUGACAAAGAUUAGUUCUCGUAUAUUUGGCUUCAAAACUUUCCAAGUUUCAAUUAGUUUAUGGUCUUCCAGUAUUAUCUGUACAUGUACAUUUUUUACAUUUUGUGUUUGAAAAUUAAGAAAUUCCAAUCAAUAUUUUGGUCAAUAGACCCUUCAUUCAUUUAAAGCCUGAAGAAGAUCUGCGGUGUGUUCAUUACGCCGAUUCAGUUGCAAAAUGUUUCUUAAAUGGAAGCAAACAGAACAAAACGGGGAGGGACCUACCUGAAUUUGUCCUAUAGAAACUUUCGUUUUCAUUGCAAACGCAACUUUUUGGACUAAUGAUUACACCCCUGUUGACUGAAAUGUUGCUUGGCGUUUACUUCUUUUCAAAUGUAAAAUGUGCAAAACAUUAUGUAAAUGAUGAAAAAGCCGCAAUGAUUAUAACUGUAAACUUUUGAGAGCAAAUACAUCAGAACUACCCUUUUGUGUUCUUCUGAGAUUACUUGAGCUUUUUUGACGACUAUGCCAGAUUACAAGUGUGCUUGAGUUUCUUUCUUUUCAAACAGAUGUUUUUCUUCAUUCACCUGGAAAUGCACUAGCAGUGCACACUACAGUUUUUUAAAGUACAUUUUCUAUUAGUCAUGGAUGAUGGUCACUGCAUCUAUAUCAACAACGUCUUAGUCAAAACACCAUCAACGUCACAACCCUGGAUGGUCAUGAAAUUGUGGACUGACCAAAGAGAUGGGAUAUAAUGUUUCACUCACCGUUCUAUAUUUUACAGCCAUAUAUUUUCUCUGUCAUGAAUAUUUUACUCCAAUUACAGAAUAGUGAGAAAAUAAUAGAAUGGAUUGUUGUGGGAGAUGCAUGCCAGAUCAGAAGAUCUAAAUGAGAAAUAGCCCAAAAUGUAUUAGGAAAUACCAAGAAUUUUGCAUUUGAACCUAUCUAUUUCCAAUGUACAGUACCAGU